rnacentral:rRNA from 1 species
GACGAACGCUGGCGGCGUGCCUAAUACAUGCAAGUCGAGCGAGCGGAACCCACUCAUUUACUUCGGUAAUGACGUUGGGAAAGCGAGCGGCGGAUGGGUGAGUAACACGUGGGGAACCUGCCCCUAAAUCUGGGAUACCAUUUGGAAACAGGUGCUAAUACCGGAUAAUAAAGCGAAUCGCAUGAUCAGCUUUUGAAAGGCGGCGUAAGCUGUCGCUAACGGAUGGCCCCGCGGUGGAUUAACUAGUUGGUAAAGUAACGGCUUACCAAGGCGACGAUGCAUAGCCGAGUUGAGAGACUGAUCGGCCAGACUGGGACUGAGACACGGCCCAAACUCCUACGGGAGGCAGCAGUAGGGAAUCUUCCACAAUGGACGCAAGUCUGAUGGAGCAACGCCGCGUGAGUGAAGAAGGUUUUCGGAUCGUAAAGCUCUGUUGUUGGUGAAGAAGGAUAGAGGUAGUAACUGGCCUUUAUUUGACGGUAAUCAACCAGAAAGUCACGGCUAACUACU